GACGAACGCUGGCGGCGCGCUUAACACAUGCAAGUCGAACGGAAAGGCCUGCUUUCCCUUGUGGAUUGCGGGUACUCGAGUGGCGAACGGGUGAGUAACACGUGAGUGAUCUGCCCCCAACUUGGGUAUAAGCCUGGGAAACUGGGUCUAAUUCCCGAUAGGACUGCAGGGUGGUGCCUGUGGUGGAAAACGAUUUUCUAGUGGUUGGGGAUGAGCUCGCGGCCUAUCAGCUUGUUGGUGGGGUAAUGGCCUACCAAGGCGGCGACGGGUAGCCGGCCUGGGAGGGUGGACGGGCACAUUGGGACUGAGAUACGGCCCAGACUCCUACGGGAGGCAGCAGGGGGGAAUAUUGCACAAUGGGCGGAAGCCUGAUGCAGCGACGCCGCGUGGGGGAUGACGGCCUUCGGGUUGUAAACUCCUUUCGACCGCGAGGAAGCCACCUGGUUGGAAGGGUGGUGACGGUAGUGGUAGAAGAAGCACCGGCUAACUACGUG
rnacentral:rRNA from 1 species